UUCAAGAGGGGUCUCCGGGAAUUUCCGGAGUCCCUCUUGGAAGUCCAUGGUGAGGGGACUUGAUACCUCACCGCCGUUUGCCUAGGCUAUAGGCUAAAUUUUCCCUUUCCCUUUUCCCUUUCCCAUUCCCUUUUGCUUGUAAAUAUUGAUUCCUGCAGGUUCAGGGUUCUUAAAUCUGUUUCUCUAUAAGAACACUCAUUUUCACGCUUUCUGUCUUCUUUCUUCCAGGGCUCUCCCCUUGCCCUAGGCUCUGGCCGUUGCGCCCGGCGGGGUCAACUCCAUGAUUAGCAUGGAGCUGUAGGAGUCUAAAUUGGGGACACAGAUGUUUGGAACGUCACCUUGCAGUGUUAACUUGGCUUUCAUGAAUCUCUUUGAUCUUCCACAAGGGGUAGGCUACGGGUGAAACCUCUUAGGCUAAUACUUCUAUGAAGAGAUGCCUUGGAUAGGGUAACAGCGGCGGAUAUUGGUGAGUUGUUAAGACAAAAACCAUUCAACGCCGGAGGACUGACUCUCAUCCAGUGGAUGCAUUGAGUGGAUUGACUGUCAGGGCUGUCUUUAGGCUUAAUUCCAGACCUCUCUGUGCUUAGGGCAAACAUCAUUUGGCCUUAAAUGGGAUUCUGUGAGAGGGGAUCCCUCCAUUGACAGCUGGACUGUUCUUUGGGGCCUUAUGUGGUGUUUGCCUCUGAGGUACUCAGGGGCAUUUAGGUUUUUCCUCAUUCUUAAAUAAUAAUGAACAUGUCUAGACAAGGUAUUUUCCAGACUGUUGGGAGUGGUCUUGACCACAUCCUGUCUUUGGCAGACAUUGAGGAAGAGCAAAUGAUUCAAUCAGUUGAUAGGACUGCAGUGACUGGUGCUUCUUAUUUUACUUCUGUGGAUCAAUCUUCAGUUCAUACAGCUGAGGUUGGAUCACACCAGGUUGAACCUUUGAGAACCUCUGUUGAUAAACCCGGUUCAAAGAGGACUCAGGGAGAGAAAUUUUUCUUGAUUCAUUCUGCAGAUUGGCUUACUACACAUGCUCUUUUCCAUGAAGUUGCAAAAUUGGAUGUGGUGAAAUUAUUAUACAAUGAGCAGUUUGCUGUUCAAGGGUUGUUGAGAUACCAUACAUAUGCAAGAUUUGGCAUUGAAAUUCAAGUUCAGAUAAACCCUACACCUUUCCAACAGGGGGGAUUGAUCUGUGCUAUGGUUCCUGGUGACCAGAGCUAUGGUUCUAUAGCAUCAUUGACUGUUUAUCCUCAUGGUUUGUUAAAUUGCAAUAUUAACAAUGUGGUUAGAAUAAAGGUUCCAUUUAUUUACACAAGAGGUGCUUACCACUUUAAAGAUCCACAAUACCCAGUUUGGGAAUUGACAAUUAGAGUUUGGUCAGAAUUAAAUAUUGGGACAGGAACUUCAGCUUAUACUUCACUCAAUGUUUUAGCUAGAUUUACAGAUUUGGAGUUGCAUGGAUUAACUCCUCUUUCUACACAAAUGAUGAGAAAUGAAUUUAGGGUCAGUACUACUGAGAAUGUGGUGAAUCUGUCAAAUUAUGAAGAUGCAAGAGCAAAGAUGUCUUUUGCUUUGGAUCAGGAAGAUUGGAAAUCUGAUCCGUCCCAGGGUGGUGGGAUCAAAAUUACUCAUUUUACUACUUGGACAUCUAUUCCAACUUUGGCUGCUCAGUUUCCAUUUAAUGCUUCAGACUCAGUUGGUCAACAAAUUAAAGUUAUUCCAGUUGACCCAUAUUUUUUCCAAAUGACAAAUACAAAUCCUGACCAAAAAUGUAUAACUGCUUUGGCUUCUAUUUGUCAGAUGUUUUGUUUUUGGAGAGGAGAUCUUGUCUUUGAUUUUCAAGUUUUUCCCACCAAAUAUCAUUCAGGUAGAUUACUGUUUUGUUUUGUUCCUGGCAAUGAGCUAAUAGAUGUUUCUGGAAUCACAUUAAAGCAAGCAACUACUGCUCCUUGUGCAGUAAUGGAUAUUACAGGAGUGCAGUCAACUUUGAGAUUUCGUGUUCCCUGGAUUUCUGACACUCCUUACAGAGUGAACAGGUAUACAAAGUCAGCACAUCAGAAAGGUGAGUACACUGCCAUUGGGAAGCUUAUUGUGUAUUGUUAUAACAGAUUGACCUCUCCUUCUAACGUUGCUUCCCAUGUCAGAGUGAAUGUUUAUCUUUCAGCAAUUAACUUGGAAUGUUUUGCUCCUCUUUAUCAUGCUAUGGAUGUUACUACACAAGUUGGAGAUGAUUCUGGAGGUUUUUCAACAACAGUUUCUACAGAACAGAAUGUUCCAGAUCCCCAAGUUGGUAUAACAACCAUGAAAGAUUUGAAAGGAAAAGCUAACAGAGGGAAAAUGGAUGUUUCAGGAGUACAAGCACCUGUGGGAGCUAUCACAACAAUUGAGGAUCCAGUUUUAGCAAAGAAAGUACCUGAGACAUUUCCUGAAUUGAAACCUGGAGAAUCCAGACAUACAUCAGAUCAUAUGUCCAUCUACAAGUUUAUGGGAAGGUCUCAUUUCUUGUGCACUUUUACAUUCAAUUCAAAUAAUAAAGAGUACACAUUUCCUAUAACCUUGUCUUCAACCUCUAAUCCUCCUCAUGGUUUGCCAUCAACACUGAGGUGGUUUUUCAACUUGUUUCAGUUGUAUAGAGGGCCUUUAGAUCUGACAAUUAUUAUUACAGGAGCAACUGAUGUAGAUGGCAUGGCCUGGUUCACUCCAGUAGGUCUUGCCGUUGAUACUCCUUGGGUAGAGAAGGAGUCAGCUUUGUCUAUUGACUACAAAACUGCUCUUGGAGCUGUCAGAUUUAACACAAGGAGAACAGGGAACAUUCAGAUUAGAUUACCAUGGUAUUCUUAUUUAUAUGCUGUGUCUGGAGCACUGGAUGGUUUGGGAGACAAGACAGAUUCUACAUUUGGAUUGGUUUCUAUUCAGAUUGCAAAUUACAAUCAUUCUGAUGAAUACUUGUCUUUUAGUUGUUAUUUGUCUGUCACAGAACAAUCAGAGUUUUAUUUUCCCAGAGCUCCAUUGAACUCAAAUGCCAUGUUAUCCACUGUAUCAAUGAUGAGCAGAAUUGCAGCUGGAGACUUGGAGUCAUCAGUGGAUGAUCCUAGAUCAGAGGAAGAUAAAAGAUUUGAGAGUCAUAUAGAAUGCAGGAAGCCAUAUAAAGAACUGAGAUUAGAAGUUGGGAAACAAAGACUCAAGUAUGCUCAGGAAGAAUUGUCAAGUGAAGUACUUCCACCCCCUAGGAAAAUGAAGGGACUGUUUUCACAAGCCAAAAUUUCUCUUUUUUAUACUGAGGAGCAUGAAAUAAUGAAGUUUUCCUGGAGAGGUGUGACUGCUGAUACUAGAGCUUUAAGGAGGUUUGGAUUCUCUUUGGCCGCAGGCAGAAGUGUGUGGACUCUUGAAAUGGAUGCUGGGGUUCUUACUGGGAGACUGAUUAGAUUGAAUGAUGAGAAAUGGACAGAAAUGAAGGAUGACAAGAUUGUUUCAUUGAUUGAAAAGUUUACAAGUAACAAAUAUUGGUCCAAAGUGAAUUUCCCACAUGGGAUGUUGGAUCUUGAAGAAAUUGCUGCCAAUUCUAAGGAUUUUCCUAACAUGUCUGAAACGGAUUUGUGUUUCUUGCUGCAUUGGUUAAAUCCAAAGAAAAUUAAUUUAGCAGAUAGAAUGCUUGGAUUGUCUGGAGUUCAGGAAAUUAAAGAACAAGGUGUUGGAUUAAUAGCAGAGUGUAGAACUUUCUUAGAUUCUAUUGCUGGAACUUUAAAAUCUAUGAUGUUUGGAUUUCAUCAUUCUGUGACUGUUGAAAUUAUAAACACUGUGCUCUGUUUUGUUAAGAGUGGAAUUUUGCUUUAUGUAAUACAACAAUUGAAUCAGGAUGAACAUUCUCACAUAAUUGGUUUGUUGAGAGUCAUGAAUUAUGUAGAUAUUGGUUGUUCAGUUAUUUCAUGUGCCAAAGUUUUUUCCAAAAUGCUGGAAACAGUCUUUAAUUGGCAAAUGGACUCCAGAAUGAUGGAGUUAAGGACUCAGAGUUUUUCCAACUGGUUAAGAGAUAUUUGUUCUGGGAUCACCAUUUUCAAAAACUUCAAGGAUGCAAUUUAUUGGCUUUAUACAAAAUUAAUGGACUUUUAUGAAGUGAAUUAUGGCAAGAAGAAGGACAUUUUAAAUAUUCUUAAAGAUAACCAACAAAAAAUAGAGAAAGCCAUUGAGGAAGCCGAUAAAUUUUGCAUUUUGCAAAUCCAAGAUGUGGAAAAAUCUGAACAGUAUCAGAAAGGGGUUGACUUGAUACAAAAAUUGAGAACUGUUCAUUCAAUGGCUCAGGUUGAUCCAAAUUUAAUGGUUCAUUUGUCACCUUUGAGAGAUUGUAUAGCAAGAGUUCAUCAGAAACUUAAAAACCUUGGAUCUAUAAAUCAGGCAAUGGUAACGAGAUGUGAGCCAGUUGUUUGUUAUUUAUAUGGCAAAAGAGGGGGAGGAAAGAGCUUAACAUCAAUUGCAUUGGCAACCAAAAUUUGUAAACAUUAUGGUGUUGAGCCUGAAAAGAAUAUCUAUACUAAACCUGUGGCUUCAGAUUACUGGGAUGGAUAUAGUGGACAAUUAAUUUGCAUCAUUGAUGAUAUUGGCCAAAACACAACAGAUGAGGAUUGGUCAGAUUUUUGUCAGUUAGUGUCAGGAUGUCCAAUGAGAUUAAACAUGGCCUCUCUUGAGGAGAAGGGUAGGCAUUUUUCUUCUCCUUUUAUAAUAGCAACUUCAAAUUGGUCAAAUCCAAGUCCAAAAACAGUUUAUGUUAAGGAAGCAAUUGACCGCAGACUCCAUUUCAAGGUUGAAGUUAAACCUGCUUCAUUUUUCAAAAAUCCUCACAAUGAUAUGUUGAAUGUUAAUUUAGCUAAAACAAAUGAUGCAAUCAAAGAUAUGUCUUGUGUUGAUUUGAUAAUGGAUGGACAUAAUGUUUCAUUGAUGGAUUUGCUCAGUUCUUUAGUCAUGACAGUUGAAAUUAGAAAACAAAACAUGACUGAAUUCAUGGAGUUGUGGUCUCAGGGAAUUUCAGAUGAUGAUAAUGAUAGUGCAGUAGCUGAGUUUUUCCAGUCUUUUCCAUCUGGUGAACCAUCGAACUCUAAAUUAUCUGGCUUUUUCCAAUCUGUUACUAAUCACAAGUGGGUUGCUGUGGGAGCUGCAGUUGGCAUUCUUGGAGUGCUCGUUGGAGGAUGGUUUGUGUAUAAGCAUUUCUCCCGCAAAGAGGAAGAACCAAUCCCAGCUGAAGGGGUAUAUUAUGGUGUAACUAAGCCCAAGCAAGUGAUUAAAUUAGAUGCAGAUCCAGUAGAAUCUCAGUCAACUUUGGAAAUAGCAGGACUGGUUAGGAAGAACUUGGUUCAGUUUGGAGUUGGAGAGAAGAAUGGAUGUGUGAGAUGGGUUAUGAAUGCCUUGGGAGUGAAAGAUGAUUGGCUGCUUGUGCCUUCCCAUGCUUAUAAAUUUGAGAAAGAUUAUGAAAUGAUGGAGUUUUAUUUUAAUAGAGGUGGAACUUACUAUUCAAUUUCAGCUGGUAAUGUUGUUAUUCAAUCUUUGGAUGUGGGAUUCCAGGAUGUUGUUCUGAUGAAGGUUCCUACAAUUCCUAAGUUUAGAGAUAUUACUCAGCAUUUUAUUAAGAAAGGGGAUGUGCCUAGAGCUUUGAAUCGCCUGGCAACAUUAGUGACAACUGUAAAUGGAACCCCUAUGUUAAUUUCUGAGGGCCCACUAAAGAUGGAAGAGAAAGCUACUUAUGUUCAUAAGAAAAAUGAUGGUACAACAGUUGAUUUAACUGUGGAUCAGGCAUGGAGAGGAAAAGGCGAAGGUCUUCCUGGAAUGUGUGGUGGGGCCUUGGUUUCAUCGAAUCAAUCUAUACAGAAUGCAAUCUUGGGCAUCCAUGUUGCUGGAGGAAAUUCAAUUCUUGUUGCAAAAUUGGUUACUCAAGAAAUGUUCCAAAAUAUUGAUAAGAAAAUUGAAAGUCAGAGAAUUAUGAAAGUGGAGUUUACUCAGUGUUCAAUGAAUGUGGUCUCCAAAACGCUUUUUAGAAAGAGUCCCAUUUAUCAUCACAUUGAUAAAACCAUGAUUAAUUUUCCUGCAGCUAUGCCCUUUUCUAAAGCUGAAAUUGAUCCAAUGGCUGUGAUGUUAUCUAAGUAUUCAUUACCUAUUGUAGAAGAACCAGAGAAUUAUAAAGAGGCUUCAAUUUUUUAUCAAAAUAAAAUAGUGGGUAAGACUCAGUUAGUUGAUGAUUUUUUAGAUCUUGAUAUGGCCAUUACAGGGGCCCCAGGAAUUGAUGCUAUCAACAUGGAUUCAUCUCCUGGAUUUCCUUAUGUCCAGGAGAAGUUGACCAAAAGAGAUUUAAUUUGGUUGGAUGAAAAUGGUUUAUUGCUGGGAGUUCAUCCAAGAUUGGCUCAGAGAAUCUUAUUCAAUACUGUCAUGAUGGAAAAUUGUUCUGAUUUGGAUGUUGUUUUUACAACCUGUCCAAAAGAUGAAUUGAGACCAUUAGAGAAAGUGUUGGAAUCAAAAACAAGAGCUAUUGAUGCUUGUCCUCUGGAUUACACAAUUUUGUGCCGAAUGUAUUGGGGUCCAGCUAUUAGUUAUUUUCAUUUGAAUCCAGGUUUCCAUACAGGUGUUGCUAUUGGCAUAGAUCCUGAUAGACAGUGGGAUGAAUUAUUUAAAACAAUGAUAAGAUUCGGAGAUGUUGGUCUUGAUUUAGAUUUCUCUGCUUUUGAUGCUAGUCUUAGUCCAUUUAUGAUUAGAGAAGCAGGUAGAAUCAUGAGUGAACUAUCUGGAACUCCAUCCCAUUUUGGCACAGCUCUUAUCAAUACUAUCAUUUAUUCCAAGCAUUUGCUGUAUAACUGUUGUUACCAUGUCUGUGGUUCAAUGCCCUCUGGGUCUCCUUGUACAGCUUUGCUAAAUUCAAUUAUUAAUAAUGUCAAUUUGUAUUAUGUGUUUUCCAAGAUAUUUGGAAAGUCUCCAGUUUUCUUUUGUCAGGCUUUGAAGAUUCUCUGUUAUGGAGAUGAUGUUUUAAUAGUUUUCUCUCGAGAUGUUCAGAUUGAUAAUCUUGAUCUGAUUGGACAAAAAAUUGUAGAUGAGUUUAAGAAACUUGGCAUGACAGCUACUUCUGCUGACAAGAAUGUACCUCAGCUGAAACCAGUUUCGGAAUUGACUUUUCUCAAAAGAUCUUUCAAUUUGGUAGAGGAUAGAAUUAGACCUGCAAUUUCGGAAAAAACAAUUUGGUCUUUAAUAGCAUGGCAGAGAAGUAACGCUGAGUUUGAGCAGAAUUUAGAAAAUGCUCAGUGGUUUGCUUUUAUGCAUGGCUAUGAGUUUUAUCAGAAAUUUUAUUAUUUUGUUCAGUCCUGUUUGGAGAAAGAGAUGAUAGAAUACAGACUUAAAUCUUAUGAUUGGUGGAGAAUGAGAUUUUAUGACCAGUGUUUCAUUUGUGACCUUUCAUGAUUUGUUUAAACGAAUUUUCUUAAAAUUUCUGAGGUUUGUUUAUUUCUUUUAUCAGUAAAU
rnacentral:misc_RNA from 1 species